UGGUGCAGUUUUUCCAAAGGCUUAAAUGAGCUUAGUGACACAUCUCGCAGAAUGACUAACCAUCUAAAACUUGAUUAGCCACCUAAAACCAGCCAGACACCUCCUGCAAGCAAGCUGGGCCACUUGUCUGAAGAUGCCCAUGAGCACCACUCUGGAAAAGCCAGUCUUUUUACUUGGACUAUAGAAAGCAUCUGCACAACUGUGUGAACAUACUCCGAGUUUUCCACCAACUCCCUCACGGCUCCUCACAACCGAAGAUGGGAGAGGAUCAGCAACAUCUCAUAUUAACAAUGACCUCUAAAAGCUACUGGCACUGAUGGAAGCCAACAACUUCAGUGCAAGUUGGAUCAGCUUUAUCUCUAAUAACUAUAAACCAAAAUUUUCAUCUCGUACUCAUGACCUGAGGUGAAAAGAUCUGCAUUAGAGUUGGCUGGAAGGAGAAAGAGGAUGAAAAAUCAGCUUCUCCUGUGGAAACAAGAACGCUGAAAUUUGGCUAGGAAAUAAGAACUGGAAGAUCUGCUUUAUCAUCAGACCACAGGAAAACUCACAGAGCAUCUAAUCCUUAUGGGGGGCAACCAUGUGUUUCCUCUUGACUCCACCCAGUAUUCCUGCACAACCAUUUAUCCUUUAAUAAAGUUCUCUAUGUUCAAUGUUCA